ensembl:misc_RNA Metazoa_SRP Metazoan signal recognition particle RNA
GCCAGGCGCGGUGCGGUGGUGCACGCCUGUAGUCCCAGCUACUCAGGAGGCUGAGGUGGGAGGAUCAAUUGAGCCCAGGAGUUCUGGGCUGUAGUGCACUAUGCUGAUCGGGUGUCCGCACGGCAUCAAUAUGGUGACCUCCCGGGAGCAGGGGACCACCAGGUUGCCUAAGGAGGAAUGAACUGGCCCAGGUCGGAAACGGAGCAGGUCAAAAUUCCCGUGCUGAUCAGUAGUGGGAUCGCGCCUGUGAUGAGCCACUGCAUUCCAGCCUGGGCAACAUAGUGAGACCCCGUCUCUU